AUCCAACUGACGAGUUCCAAAAAGGACGAAACACGCGUCAAACUGUAU
rnacentral:hammerhead_ribozyme from 1 species